AUACGGAGGGUGCAAGCGUUAAUCGGAAUUACUGGGCGUAAAGCGCACGCAGGCGGUUUGUUAAGUCAGAUGUGAAAUCCCCGGGCUCAACCUGGGAACUGCAUCUGAUACUGGCAAGCUUGAGUCUCGUAGAGGGGGGUAGAAUUCCAGGUGUAGCGGUGAAAUGCGUAGAGAUCUGGAGGAAUACCGGUGGCGAAGGCGGCCCCCGGGACGAAGACUGACGCUCAGGUGCGAAAGCGUGGGGAGCAAACAGGAUUAGAUACCCUGGUAGUCCACGCCGUAAACGAUGUCGACUUGGAGGUUGUGCCCUUGAGGCGUGGCUUCCGGAGCUAACGCGUUAAGUCGACCGCCUGGGGAGUACGGCCGCAAGGUUAAAACUCAAAUGAAUUGACGGGG
rnacentral:rRNA from 1 species